rnacentral:lncRNA from 1 species
AUCCUCAUUAUCCAGGUGGACGCCUGAUUUCUUCUUUAACUCUUUCAUCCUCAUUCUCCAGGUGGACGCCUGAUUUCUUCUUAAUUCUUCAUCCUCAUUCUCCAGGUGGACGCCUGAUUUCUUCUUAAAUUCUUCAUCCUCAUUCUCUAGGUGGACGCCUGAUUUCUUCUUAAAUUCUUUCAUCCUCAUUCUCCAGGUGGACGCCUGAUUUCUUCUUAAAUUCUUCAUCCUCAUUCUCCAGGUGGACGCCUAUUUCUUCUUAACUUCUUCAUCGGGUUUUUCCUGACACAAAUGUUGUUUUUGCCCCUAUUUUUAAAUCAAAGAAAACUUUGUUAGUUUUAAAACAGGAUGGUUAACUGGGGCAUUCUUGCCGACGGUGGGGCUUCUCUGUCUUGUUUU